AGAGUGAACGCUGGCGGUAGGCCUAACACAUGCAAGUCGAACGGCAGCACAGUGGUAGCAAUACCAUGGGUGGCGAGUGGCGGACGGGUGAGGAAUACAUCGGAAUCUACCUUUUCGUGGGGGAUAACGUAGGGAAACUUACGCUAAUACCGCAUACGCCCUUUGGGGGAAAGCCGGGGAUCGCAAGACCUGGCGCGGAUAGAUGAGCCGAUGUCGGAUUAGCUAGUUGGUGAGGUAAUGGCUCACCAAGGCGACGAUCCGUAGCUGGUCCGAGAGGAUGAUCAGUCACACUGGAACUGAGACACGGCCCAGGCUCCUACGGGAGCAGCAGUGGGAAUAUUGGACAAUGGG
rnacentral:rRNA from 1 species